AAAAUAGAUCAACUGUAAUUGGUUCGAAGAUCCACUAUUAAGUGACAGGCACAUUACUAUUAUGAUUUAUGAUGUAACCAGCAUAUUAAUUAAAAAUUGGACCGAAGCGAAUAUUUUAUUAAAUUUGCCCAUAAUACUGUGGUAUUUUGUUGUGUCUGUGAACCACUUUUAGACCAUCAGAAAUCUCUCUCCGAUCAUCAACUUCAGGGGUGGUUUAUUAUAGCAAUUUUUAUAGUAAGCACAUUGAGCAGGCACAUCUCUGAGAAGAAGUGGACUUAUAUUAGCAUUUGGCAUAGUCAUUGGUCU